rnacentral:rRNA from 1 species
CUACGGGAUGCUGCAGUGGGGAAUAUUGCGCAAUGGGCGAAAGCCUGACACAGCAACGCCGCGUGGGGGAUGAAGGCCUUCGGGUUGUAAACCUCUUUCAGCAGGGAAGAAGCGAAAGUGACGGUACCUGCAGAAGAAGCACCGGCUAACUACGUGCCAGCAGCCGCGGUAAUACGUAGGGUGCAAGCGUUGUCCGGAUUUAUUGGGCGUAAAGAGCUCGUAGGCGGUUAGUCACGUCGGAUGUGAAAACCCGGAGCUUAACUCCGGGCCUGCAUUCGAUACGGGCUGACUAGAGUGUUGUAGGGGAGACUGGAACUCCUGGUGUAGCGGUGAAAUGCGCAGAUAUCAGGAAGAACACCGGUGGCGAAGGCGGGUCUCUGGGCAACUACUGACGCUGAGGAGCGAAAGCGUGGGGAGCAAACAGGAUUAGAUACCCCCGUAGUC